CCGAAAGGGUGACGAAGCGACGUCGCGUGGGUGAGGAAGGCCUUCGGGUUGUAAAGCCCUGUCAGGAGUUAAGAAAUGUAGGUACGCUAAUAUCGUAUCUAUUUGACAAAGGCUCCAAAGGAAGCCACGGCUAACUCUGUGCCAGCAGCCGCGGUAAUGCAGAGGUGGCAAGCGUUGUUCGGAAUUAUUGGGCGUAAAGAGCACGUAGGUGGAUUUGUAAGUCAGAUGUGAAAGCCUUCUGUUCAACGGGAGAAUUGCAUCUGAAACUACAGACCUUGAGUAUAGGAGGGGAGAAUGGAACUUCUGGUGGAGCGGUGAAAUGCGUAGAUAUCAGAAGGAACGCCGGCGGCGAAAGCGAUUCUCUGGCCUAUUACUGACACUCAGUGUGCGAA
rnacentral:rRNA from 1 species